UACGGGGGGGGCAAGCGUUGUUCGGAAUUACUGGGCGUAAAGGGCUCGUAGGUGGCCAACUAAGUCAGACGUGAGAUCCCUCGGCUUAACCGGGGAACUGCGUCUGAUACUGGAUGGCUGGAGAUUGGGAGAGGGAUGCGGAAUUCCAGGUGUAGCGGUGAAAUGCGUAGAUAUCUGGAGGAACACCGGUGGCGAAGGCGGCAUCCUGGACCAAUAUUGACGCUGAGGAGCGAAAGCUAGGGGAGCAAACGGG
rnacentral:rRNA from 1 species